CGACACGAGACGUCGUACCGCGUCACCCAUUCACAAGACGUUUCUCAAGGUAACCUGACGACGAAGCCGAUCAACGGGUGCGAUCUUCAUGCUUCCAACCCGCGGCACGGGACAGCUGUUCCUUCAAGAUCAUUCACACGUUCAGUGUGGGCGGACAGAAGCGUCUCUCGGACAGCUCGCCAAGUGGAAGAACGGCGCUGAGGAGGUGGCCGCGCUGCAUCCCCUCUCUCCCCUGUCGAGAGGAGCAGCCUAAGCAGAUCAUCGUCACGCGUAAGGGCAUGCUCGACCCGCUAGAGGUGCAUCUCCUCGACUUCCCCAACAUCGUCAUCAAGGGAAGCGAGCUGCAGCUGCCCUUCCAGGCAUGCCUCAAGUCGUAGAACGCUGGCGAUUUGAAUCCCUCAAGGCCACCGAGCCGCAGAUGGUGCUCUUCAAUCUCUACGACGACUGGCUGAAGACGAUC